UGGGGAAUAUUGCACAAUGGAGGGAACUCUGAUGCAGCGACGCCGCGUGAACGAAGAAGGCUUUCGAGUCGUAAAGUUCUUUUAUAUGGGAAGAUAAUGACGGUACCAUAAGAAAAAGCCCCGGCUAACUACGUGCCAGCAGCCGCGGUAAUACGUAGGGGGGUAGCGUUGUCCGGAAUCACUGGGCGUAAAGGGUUCGCAGGCGGAAAUGCAAGUCAGGUGUAAAAGGCAGUAGCUUAACUACUGUAAGCAUUUGAAACUGCAUAUCUUGAGAAGAGUAGAGGUAAGUGGAAUUUUUAGUGUAGCGGUGAAAUGCGUAGAUAUUAAAAAGAAUACCGGUGGCGAAGGCGACUUACUGGGCUCAUUCUGACGCUGAGGAACGAAAGCGUGGGUAGCAAACAGG
rnacentral:rRNA from 1 species